rnacentral:rRNA from 1 species
CCAGACUCCUACGGGAGGCAGCAGUGGGGAAUAUUGCACAAUGGGCGCAAGCCUGAUGCAGCGACGCCGCGUGAGGGAUGACGGCCUUCGGGUUGUAAACCUCUUUCAGUAGGGAAGAAGCGAGAGUGACGGUACCUGCAGAAGAAGCGCCGGCUAACUACGUGCCAGCAGCCGCGGUAAUACGUAGGGCGCAAGCGUUAUCCGGAAUUAUUGGGCGUAAAGAGCUCGUAGGCGGUUUGUCGCGUCUGCCGUGAAAGUCCGGGGCUCAACUCCGGAUCUGCGGUGGGUACGGGCAGACUAGAGUGAUGUAGGGGAGACUGGAAUUCCUGGUGUAGCGGUGAAAUGCGCAGAUAUCAGGAGGAACACCGAUGGCGAAGGCAGGUCUCUGGGCAUUAACUGACGCUGAGGAGCGAAAGCAUGGGGAGCGAACAGGAUUAGAUACCCUGGUAGUCCAUGCCGUAAACGUUGGGCACUAGGUGUGGGGGGACAUUCCACGUUUUCCGCGCCGUAGCUAACGCAUUAAGUGCCCCGCCUGGGGAGUACGGCCGCAAGGCUAAAACUCAAAGGAAUUGACGGGGGCCCGCACAAGCGGCGGAGCAUGCGGAUUAAUUCGAUGCAACGCGAAGAACCUUACCAAGGCUUGACAUGAACCGGACCGGGCUGGAAACAGUCUUUCCCCUUGUGGGCUGGUUUACAGGUGGUGCAUGGUUGUCGUCAGCUCCGUGUCGUGAGAUGUUGGGUUAAGUCCCGCAACGAGCGCAACCCUCGUUCUAUGUUGCCAGCACGUGAUGGUGGGGACUCAUAGGAGACUGCCGGGGUCAACUCGGAGGAAGGUGGGGACGACGUCAAAUCAUCAUGCCCCUUAUGUCUUGGGCUUCACGCUGCUACAAUGGCCGGUACAAAGGGUUGCGAUACUGUGAGGUGGAGCUAAUCCCAAAAAGCCGGUCUCAGUUCGGAUUGGGGUCUGCAACUCGACCCCAUGAAGUCGGAGUCGCUAGUAAUCGCAGAUCAGCAACGCUGCGGUGAAUACGUUCCCGGGCCUUGUACACACCGCCCGUCAAGUCACGAAAGUUGGUAACACCCGAAGCCGGUGGCCUAA